rnacentral:rRNA from 1 species
AUACGGAGGGGGUUAGCGUUGUUCGGAAUUACUGGGCGUAAAGCGCACGUAGGCGGACUGGAAAGUUGGGGGUGAAAUCCCGGGGCUCAACCCCGGAACUGCCUCCAAAACUUCCAAUCUAGAGAUCGAGAGAGGUAAGUGGAAUUCCUAGUUUAGAGGUGAAAUUCGUAGAUAUUAGGAGGAACACCAGUGGCGAAGGCGGCUUACUGGCUCGAUACUGACGCUGAGGUGCGAAAGCGUGGGGAGCAAACAGGAUUAGAAACCCUAGUAGUCC